UACGUAGGGUGCAAGCGUUAAUCGGAAUUACUGGGCGUAAAGCGUGCGCAGGCGGUGAUGUAAGACAGAUGUGAAAUCCCCGGGCUCAACCUGGGAACUGCAUUUGUGACUGCAUCGCUGGAGUGCGGCAGAGGGGGAUGGAAUUCCGCGUGUAGCAGUGAAAUGCGUAGAUAUGCGGAGGAACACCGAUGGCGAAGGCAAUCCCCUGGGCCUGCACUGACGCUCAUGAGCGAA
rnacentral:rRNA from 1 species